GAUGAACGCUGGCGGCGUGCUUAACACAUGCAAGUCGAGCGAUGAAGUUUCCUUCGGGAAACGGAUUAGCGGCGGACGGGUGAGUAACACGUGGGUAACCUGCCUCAUAGAGUGGAAUAGCCUUCCGAAAGGAAGAUUAAUACCGCAUAACGUUGAAAGAUGGCAUCAUCAUUCAACCAAAGGAGCAAUCCGCUAUGAGAUGGACCCGCGGCGCAUUAGCUAGUUGGUGGGGUAACGGCCUACCAAGGCGACGAUGCGUAGCCGACCUGAGAGGGUGAUCGGCCACAUUGGGACUGAGACACGGCCCAGACUCCUACGGGAGGCAGCAGUGGGGAAUAUUGCACAAUGGGGGGAAACCCUGAUGCAGCAACGCCGCGUGAGUGAUGAAGGUUUUCGGAUCGUAAAGCUCUGUCUUUGGGGUAGAUAAUGACGGUACUCAAGGAGGAAGCCACGGCUAACUACGUGCCAGCCGCCGCUGUAA
rnacentral:rRNA from 1 species